ACAAGCCAUGCAUGCCCGCACACCCGGGAGGCGGCGGACGGCUCAGGACAACGGUUGCACCCCCCGCGGCGGUCCCUGCUAAGCCGGACACCGCUGGCAACCCGGCGCCAAGACGUGCGCGCAAGUGCGGGCGUUGCGGG
rnacentral:rRNA from 1 species